rnacentral:rRNA from 1 species
AAUAUUGGACAAUGGGGGCAACCCUGAUCCAGCAAUGCCGCGUGUGUGAAGAAGGCCUUCGGGUUGUAAAGCACUUUUAUCCGGAACGAAACGUGUUGGGUGAAUAGCCCGGCAAACUGACGGUACCGGAGGAAUAAGCACCGGCUAACUUCGUGCCAGCAGCCGCGGUAAUACGAAGGGUGCAAGCGUUACUCGGAAUUACUGGGCGUAAAGCGUGCGUAGGUGGUUUGUUAAGUCUGCUGUGAAAGCCCCGGGCUCAACCUGGGAAUGGCAGUGGAUACUGGCAAGCUAGAGUGCGGUAGAGGGAUGUGGAAUUCCCGGUGUAGCGGUGAAAUGCGUAGAGAUCGGGAGGAACACCAGUGGCGAAGGCGGCAUCCUGGACCAGCACUGACACUCAGGCACGAAAGCGUGGGGAGCAAAC